UACGUAGGGUGCAAGCGUUAAUCGGAAUUGACUGGGCGUAAAGCGUGCGCAGGCGGCUUUGCAAGACAGAUGUGAAAUCCCCGGGCUUAACCUGGGAACUGCAUUUGUGACUGCAUGGCUGGAGUGCGGCAGAGGGGGAUGGAAUUCCGCGUGUAGCAGUGAAAUGCGUAGAUAUGCGGAGGAACACCGAUGGCGAAGGCAAUCCCCUGGGCCUGCACUGACGCUCAUGCACGAAAGCGUGGGGAGCAAACAGG
rnacentral:rRNA from 1 species